UACGAAGGGUGCAAGCGUUACUCGGAAUUACUGGGCGUAAAGCGUGCGUAGGUGGUUUGUUAAGUCUGCUGUGAAAGCCCCGGGCUCAACCUGGGAAUGGCAGUGGAUACUGGCAAGCUAGAGUACGGUAGAGGGGGAUGGAAUUCCGCGUGUAGCAGUGAAAUGCGUAGAUAUGCGGAGGAACACCGAUGGCGAAGGCAAUCCCCUGGACCUGUACUGACGCUCAUGCACGAAAGCGUGGGGAGCAAACAGG
rnacentral:rRNA from 1 species